GGGGAAUUAAUUGCAUUGCACACCUUGUCUCCCAUUAGCCGAGGGAAAUCCAGAGGGCGUGACACGUGGCUUCCACUAAAGGGUAACAUUAAUUGGGGUGUGACAUACUGUAGCAGUACUACAUUUUAUUGUAGCAGUAUUGUAGUUGUACUACAUUUCACUGUAGCAGUAUUGUAGCUCGUACUACAUUUUUCCUGUAGCAGUACUGUAGCAACACAUGAUUCACGUGGUACUGUAGCCUUCAAUACUUUGAACAAUCCUCAAAGUCCAGAAUGCCGCACGUCCU
rnacentral:lncRNA from 1 species